rnacentral:tRNA from 1 species
GGUCUGUUAGUUUAAUGGUAAAACACCAGGCUGUCUACUUGGUGUCACGGGUUCGAUUCCCGUACAGGCUA